rnacentral:lncRNA from 10 species
UUUGAAGAAGUAAGCUUCACUUUUAUGAAAAGCCCAUGAAAGAGCCUCCUGGCAAGGAACUAAGGCGGCCUAUAGAUUCUGAGGGUGGUAUCCUACUGAUGGCCAUCAGGAAAACAGGGACUUCCAUCCUACAGCUGCAAGAAACAGAAUUCUGCCAAAAACUACCUGGGUCUGAAAACGAACCCUGAACUCCAGAGAGAAAAAAAGUGAGAAGAGUCCAGGAGGAGAAAAGACUGGCCAUAUUCAGCCUGCCCCUGUGACUUCUAAGGCUAUGCUGCUGCUGGUGGUGUUUGUCAUUUUUCUCACUAAGGUAAAAAAGUGAAUUAAGAUGAAAGAAAUGCAAGAGAAAUGCUUAUAAAUACUAAGAACAGCAGCAUCUUGCCUAGGUCAUGCCUACGCCUACACGCACAUAAGCAACACACAUCCUGUACUUUCUAGAAUGCUUUGCACUGUUUAAUGAUGCUGGGCGGUCAUUUGCUGACUACCCUCCAGGCAUGUUUUUACCAAUUAGAUUAGGAAAGAUGGUGACUGCCACAGCAGCUCGAGGGCUGUGUCAGAAACUCUCAGGAUGUAAGUUGUUUUACCAACACCAUUGGGGCAGGAGACAGACAGGGAUUAGUGAAGGGGUGGGUUUCAUUGCCUCCUUCUAAAAGUAGCUUUAUCUCUCACCUCAGACCUUCUAGUUCUGGCUCUACCACUAAGUUCUAAUAGAGCUCCCCAAAUUAAACUCUAAUAGAGAAAUCCUUUCAGAUUAUGGCUCCCUAAAGGGAUCUAAGUCUGGGGUCUCUCAUCAUACAUUCAUUUAAUCAGCAUUUAAUGAGCUUCUACUCUGCGCUAGCACUGCUGAUACAGCAAUGGAUACAACUUAUAAAAUCCCAAAACACAUAAAGCCUAGAGGCUAAUGGGGGACACAGAGAAGGCAAUGGUCAAUUUAAAUACAUUACAGGGAAAGUGAAAAUGCUCUAUGAGCACAAAAGAGGGACACCUCACUCAUCAAAGAGGUUCUAGGAAGAAACCCCAAACACCACCAGUAACGAUGAAAAGGAAUUGACAUAGCAGAGUUCUUCAAACAGAAAGAACAUGUGCCAAUGCCCAGAGGUGAGUUUCAGGAGCAGCAGAACUGAAGCAUAGGGUUUAUGGGUGAGUAAUAAUAAUUAUAAGGGACAGCAUUUAUCCAGCAUGUACUGUGUCAGUGCAGUAUUAAGUGGGUGGUAUGCAUUAUCUCAUUUGAUCCUCACUUCAUCCCACUGAUGAGGCAACUGGGGCACAGAGAAGUUAAAUUCUCUGCUCAUAGUCACAACACUGGUUAAGUGGGAAGCCAGGAAUUAAUGCCUAGCCAACUGACUCCUAAGCCCACACUAUAAUGGCCCACUCUAAACUAAAAAAAAUACACCAAAUGGUGAGAUCAGCCAUCUACCCUUCACUAAUAGAAACACCAACUCAUCCUAUGGGUAGAAAUCCACCAAGGUUCUACAACUCCCUGAUCUCAGACACUCCGUCCAGCCCUCGAGUUCUCUUGCCAAAAACAGAGAGGAGCAAUUAGGUCUCCUCCAGUUACUGGGUCCCAGGUUAGCAUGCCAGGUUUCUAGAUUAAGGUUCUGCCCUUCUAGGCUUCCUGGAAACUACAAUCUUGUCUCUGAGUUCAGUCUUCUUGCCUAGAUUCCUCCUAUCAGACAUCAGACACCAUGUUCUGCCUCCUUUUUUGAACUUCGUUAUAUUUUGGCCCCAUGGGCAUCCUCAAAUUGUUUUUGGGUCUCUGUGCUUCUGUCUGGUUUCUAGGGUCUAGUCAUCUUCAGUUUAGCCCGAAUACAAGAGAUUUCUGAGUGAGUAUCUUUGUCACAUAGAGGUGGCUGUGAUGUUUCCUAGGCAUAGUAUUGUGCCCAACUGUUCCAGUUUCAAAACCCCCCUUUUGAUCUCAAUUUCUCUGAAGCCAUGGUGCAUCCCAGUCCUCCUUCCAUGUUAGCUCCUAGGGUUAGUACUCAAAUCCUGUUACUUUGUUUUUCAAACUAUUUUGGAAAGAGGUAGAAUAUAAUUUUCCUCCUCUUUAGAUUAUUCAAAAAUAUCUUGCCCUCUUCUACAACAAGAACAAAUUAAUUAAAGUGAUUUUUUUCUAAGUAAAUCAAAAAUUUCUUGAGAAUAAAUCUAUAAUCAUCAUAGAGCUACCAGAAUAAAUAGCUCAAUGUGUAGCCA